GUGCUUGCUUACACAGCACAUUUACUAAAAUUAGAAUGAUACAGAGAAGAUUAGCAUGGACCCAGCACAAGGAUGACAUGAAUAUUCUUGAAGCAUUCCAUGUUUUU
ensembl:snRNA U6 U6 spliceosomal RNA